rnacentral:rRNA from 1 species
AGUGAACGCUGGCGGCAUGCCUUACACAUGCAAGUCGAACGGUAACAGGCCUUCGGGUGCUGACGAGCGGCGAACGGGUGAGUAAUGCAUCGGAACAUGCCUAUUUGUGGGGGAUAGCCCGGCGAAAGCCGGAUUAAUACCGCAUACGAUCUAAGGAUGAAAGCUGGGGACCGCAAGGCCUAGCGCAAAUAGAGUGGCCGAUGUCAGAUUAGCUAGUUGGUGGGGUAAAGGCCCACCAAGGCAACGAUCUGUAGCUGGUUUGAGAGAACGACCAGCCACACUGGGACUGAGACACGGCCCAGACUCCUACGGGAGGCAGCAGUGGGGAAUUUUGGACAAUGGGCGCAAGCCUGAUCCAGCAAUGCCGCGUGCAGGAUGAAGGCCUUCGGGUUGUAAACGUGCUUUUGUACGGAGCGAAAAGGCUUCUUCUAAUACAGGAGGCUCAUGACGGUACCGUAAGAAUAAGCACCGGCUAACUACGUGCCAGCA